GGUAGCGUUUGUUUGCAGAGACUGGAACUGAGACUGAGAGACAGAAUCUCAGUAUUAUGUUUGUUGAGCUAGAGACUGGUACUUAAAUUUAUGUCUCUGUCUUCAAAAUUUCAGUAUUUCAGUACCUCCAAAAAGUAGGGACACUGGGGACAGAAAAAUAUAAAGACAGAGACAGAAAUUUUAAUUAUAAUUUGUACCUAAAUUACCCCCUUCUAAUUUUAUAAUUCCAAAAUUACCCUUAAUGUAAAUCAAGCUUCUUGAUCAACCAUCGUUCUUCUCAUUCUCCUUGGCCACUGCAGCCGCUGAAGCAUUCUUCUUCAAGAACAGCCACCGCGUCGCCGCUGGCCUCGCCACCGCUAGAAAAAUCAAAGAACGAAGAUGCCGCCUCUCCUGGGUUGCUGUCGACCUCAACCAUCAACUCCUCGUCCGAACUGCUCUGACCCAAGUUAGUUCUAUACAAAUGUUAUUUAAUUUACUGAUUCCUUUCAUCUUUUCCAUCGUUCCCUAAUCUGUGGAUUUGUUCGUGACCUAGCAUUGGAACCUGUUUGCUUGGUUUGUCAUUAUUUUGUUAAUGGUAUGAAGUAGUAGCAUUGAAGUUGAAGAAA